GUGAUGCAUUACUGUUUGCAAGCUGGUUCUCUGUUUACUUGUGUUUAUACCAGGAUGAGGCUGUUCCCAAUAGCAACCACUGUGAUCCUGAAGCCUCCUCUUCUAGAACACUGUGUAGUCCUCAGGGCUCACAACCUUCCCCAGGGCCCAGUGAAGGGUCUGGGACUGCUGUCUCCAAACAACCCGUGCCAGCUCUUUUCCACAGAAGCGUUCAACCAAGAGGCUUCUCUUCCAACGAUUGUUUCAUUUGCCUCACCCAACCACCACUGUUUUCAUGCAGUUACUAAAUGUUAUCAAUGUGUUUGGCCUAUCUUAGUGUCAGAAAAAGCAAUUUUGAAUGAUAUGGACACCAUCUUGCCUUGCCAAACUUGGACCCAAUAGGGUGACUUGGCCUCAAGGCUUCUUAGUGAACCUCAAACCACCUUAAAAAUCAGUAAUUCACAGUAGUCGUUUGGAGCCGAUGAGGAGACAGAUAGCACUUUGGCUUCAGAGAAGGAGACAGAAGUUCCCUCAGGUGACAUUUUGCUUGGGAGAAAGUCUGGAAAUGUAAGCUUGCUCUGCUUCUCUGAGCAACACUAACCAAAAUUGGAGACUUUGACCCUGCCGCCUCUUCUGAAAUCAAGUGAAUUAAUUAGGAGCUGCGAUGCCUGAGUUUCAUUAUGUCCUUAAUACUUAGAAGUCACCAGACUGUUCUCACCUGCAGCUCCUCCAGCCACGCAAGUGAAAAAGAAAGCUGCCUGGAAAAGUCAGAGGGGGUUUCUGAGUCACUGCUGACUGGAAUUCCAGGUUUCCACCCCAAAUUCCAAGUGAGAGAGCUCGUUGGCAUCUGCAGUUCCAGGCAAGGCAAGCAAACUGCUGUUUUCAGAGGAGACUUCACCUCGGAGAAGUUGGCAGCAGGAGGCAGAUGCCAAGUUCAAAGCAAGUCCCUGUAGACAGUGUCUACAAAACGACUACGGUUCUUGAUGGAAGCGAUACGCCAAGAGGGACAUAAACAGCUUGCUAAAGCGGUGAUGGGGAUUUAGUUCACCUUGAUACCAAUUCACCGCAAGUCAAUUCUCCUGAUGCCAAUUUACCUAAUUAAUUCACCUAAAACUAGCAUUUUCUAGUUCCAUGGUUCUCAGUCCUAGCUGGGUCUUCCAGAUUCUAACCUGGGCUUUUGUUUUUUGUUGUUUUGAGAGGCAGAGAGAGAUGGAUAGACAGAGACAGCUCUAGUAAGCUGAUUCACUCCCCCAGGUGCCCAUAUGGCUGGGACUGGACAGGGCUGAAGUGGAGCCUCCCGUGUGGGUGGUAGGGACCCCCAUUACUUGAGCCGUCCCAGGGUCUGCAUCAACAGGAAGAUAGAAUUGAGUCCAGCUAUUAAACCCAGGCACUCUGCUAUGCGGACGAGGGUGUCUUAACUGCUAGAGAACCUUGCUUUUCAGUUAGGCACAUCCUUUUUUUUUUUU